UGGCAGACGGGUGAGUAACAUGUAGGUAUCUUCCCUUUGGUGAGGAAUAACACGAGGAAACUUGUGCUAAUACCUCAUAAGUCUUUACGGAGAAAGCUUUAUGCGCCAAUGGAUGAGCCUGCACUUGAUUAGUUUGUUGGUGGGGUAAUGGCCUACCAAGACAAUGAUCAAUAGCUGAUUUGAGAGGAUGAUCAGCCACAUUGGGACUGAGACACGGCCCAAACUCCUACGGGAGGCAGCAGUAGGGAAUCUUGCACAAUGGGGGAAACCCUGAUGCAGCGAUGCCGCGUGAGUGAAGAAGGCCUUUGGGUUGUAAAGCUCUUUCGUCGGGGAAGAAAAUGACUGUACCCGAAUAAGAAGGUCCGGCUAACUUCGUGCCAGCAGCCGCGGUAAUACGAAGGGACCUAGCGUAGUUCGGAAUUACUGGGCUUAAAGAGUUCGUAGGUGGUUAAAAAAGUUGGUGGUGAAAUCCCAGAGCUUAACUCUGGAACUGCCAUCAAAACUUUUUAGCUAGAGUAUGAUAGAGGAAAGCAGAAUUUCUAGUGUAGAGGUGAAAUUCGUAGAUAUUAGAAAGAAUACCAAUUGCGAAGGCAGCUUUCUGGAUCAUUACUGACGCUGAGGAACGAAAGCAUGGGUAGCGAAGAGGAUUA
rnacentral:rRNA from 1 species